AGCAGAGUAUCUCAAGUGGUAGAGCACCUGCUUAGUAGGCAGGAAGCCCUGAGUUCAAACCCCAGACUGCUA
rnacentral:tRNA from 1 species